GGGGCUUUAGCUCAGCUGGGAGAGCGCCUGUUUUGCACGCAGGAGGUCAGGGGUUCGAUCCCCCUAAGCUCCACCA
rnacentral:tRNA from 13 species